CAGGACGUAUGUCUUGACACUGAGCAAGGUGUUUGCCACUUUGAAAUUCAUCCAAAUACUAGUCAAAAGACUGCUUAUAUAUAUUGGUCAAGGCUGUGUGUGUUUAAGAACUGCUUGUGCUUUUGUAGAAGUAGGUAAGGAAAAUAUAACUCUCCCAAGCAAAAAUCGUUCUAACUUUUGUAUUUGUAACUUUGUUAGAAUUGUCGGGUGUGAUUUUCUAUAUUUGGCACCAGUGGUAUCCCACCAGUUGAUCAAGUCUAACAACACAAUGUAUCACAAGUUAUUACCUACACCUAUUGGGAUGAACCUCAUGUUAGUGAGGCAAUUAGUUAAAAAACAAGACCUGAUCAAAAAUUUUAAAAGGCAUUCAGGAAAAUGGAGAGAAGACUCUAAUCACUGUCCAUCAUGAUACGAAGGAAAUAAGUAGAGUUUUGCAAAGAGUAAAACAAGAUGCAAAUCACAACUGGUGGGAUGCACUCUUUGGAUGGUCGCCAACUGCAACUGGGAUUUUGAAUACAUUGUGUCACCCAAUUAUUGUUUUAGUGAUAUUAGUUGGUAUAAGUUUAGUAUUGUCUUUUGUAAUACUUGUUUGGAAUUGGAAAAUGUUACAACGAAUGGCGAUAUUAGCUUCCUUGUCGAAAGUACAUGGCAAGGCAUUGAGGGAUACAUAUCGUAGAGACUGGGAAGAAGAAUUUUUGUAUUAAGGUCUCUACCGUAACUAGCUCGGGGGAUAAGAGGGUGGUGAAGGAGGAAGG